AUCAUGGUGAAGCUCGCUAAGGCAGGUAAAAAUCAAGGGGAUUCCAAGAAAAUGGCUCCUCUUCUGAAGGAGUUAGAAGAAGAUAGUGAAGAUGAGGAAAUGUCAGAAGAUGAAGAAGAUUAUAGCAGUGGAGAGGAGGCUAUCAUCCCUCAGAAGAAAGGCAAGAAGUCUACUGCAACCCCAGUAAAGAAAGUGGUGGUUUCCUCAACAAAAAAGCCUGCAGUUGCCACCCACGCUGGCCAAGAAAGCAGUUGUCACCCUAGGCAAAAAAGCAGCUGCCAUACCAACUGAGAAGACAAUUACACCAGCCAAAGCAGUCGUGACUCCUGGCAAGAAGGGAGCCACACCAGGGAAGGCAUUGUAGCAACCUCUGGUAAGAAGGAAGCUGCCACCCCAGCAAAGAGGGCGAAGAACGGUAAGAAUGCCAAGAAGGAAGACAGUGAUGAGGAUGAGGAUGAUGAUGAAGAUGAGGAGGAAGAGGAUGAAUUUGAACCAACGGCGACAAAAGCAGCAGCUGCUACUCCUGCCUCAGAGGAUGAGGAUGAUGAAGACAAUGAAGGGGAAGAUGACUCUGAGGAGGAAGCCAUGGCUACUACACUGGUCAGAGGUAAGAAAGCUUCUGCAAAGGCUAUUCCUGUGAAAGCUAAGAGCGUGGCUGUGGAUGAAGAGGAAGAUGAUGAGGAUGAAGAUGAGGAUGAUGAUGAAGAGGAUGAGAAUGAUGAUGAUGAAGAGGAGGAGGAGGAGGAAGAAGAGGAGGAAAAGUCUGUCAAAGAAGCACCUGGAAAACGAAAGAAAGAAAUGGUCAAACAGAAAGCAGCUCCUGAAGCCAAGAAACAGAAAGUAGAAGCCACAGAGCCAACUACAGCUUUCAAUCUCUUUGUUGGAAACCUGAACUUUAACAAGUCUGCCGCUGAACUAAAAACUGGUGUUAGUGAUGUUUUUGCUAAAAAUGAUCUUGCCGUUGUGGAUGUCAGAAUUGGUAUGACCAGGAAAUUUGGCUAUGUGGACUUUGAAUCUGCUGAAGACCUGGAAAAAGCCUUGGAUCUCACUGGCUUGAAAGUCUUUGGCAAUGAAAUUAAACUAGAGAAGCCAAAAGGAAAAGACAGUAAGAAAGAUCGAGAUGCAAGAACCCUUUUGGCCAACAACCUCCCUUACAAAGUCACUCAGGAUGAAUUGAAAGAAGUGUUUGAAGAUGCUGUGGAUAUCAUAUUGGUCAGCAAGGAUGGAAAGAGUAAAAGGAUUGCUUAUAUUGAAUUUAAGACAGAAGCUGAUCCAGAUAAAUCCUAAGAAAAGCAGGGAACAGAGAUUGAAGAACGAUCUAUUUCCCUGUCCUACACUGGAGAGAAAGGUCAAAGUCAAGACCAUAGAUGUGGAAAGAAUAGCACUUGGAGAGGUGAAUCAAAAACUCUGGUUUUAAGCAAUCUUUCCUACGGUGCAAUAGAAGAAAUCCUUCAGGAAGUAUUUGAGAAGGCAACUUUUAUCAAAAUGCCCCAGAACCAAAAUGGCAAAUCUAAAGGGUAUGCAUUUAUAGAGUUUGCAUCAUUUGAAGAUACUAAAGAAGCUUUAAAUUCCUGUAAUAAAAAGGAAAUUGAGGGCAGAACAAUCAGGCUGGAGUUGCAAGGGCCCGGGGGAUCAUCUAAUGCCAGAAGCCAGCCAUCCAAAACUCUGUUUGUCAAAGGUCUGUCUGAGGAUACCACCAAAGAGAUGUUAAAGGAGUCAUUUGAUGGCUCUGUCCGGGCAAGGAUAGGCACUGACCUGGAAACCAGAUCCUGCAAAGGGUUUGGUUUUAUAGACUUCAGUAGUGAGGAAGAAGCCAAAGCAGCCAAGGAGGCGAUGGAAGAUGGUGAAAUAGAUGGAAGCAAUGUUACCUUGGACUGACCCAAGCCUAAGGGAGAAGGUGGCUUUGGAGGUCAUGGUGAAGGCAGAGGAGGCUUUGGAGGCCGAGGUGGUGGCAGAAGAGGCCAAGGUGGAUUUGGUGGCAGAGGCUGGGAGGCUUUGGAGGGAGAGGAGGCUUCAGAGGAGGCAGAGGAGGUGAAGGCGACCACAAGCUACAAGAAAAGAAGAUGAAGUUUGAAUAG